UGGGGAAUAUUGGGCAAUGGGCGCAAGUCUGACCCAGCAACGCCGCGUGAAGGAAGAAGGCUUUCGGGUUGUAAACUUCUUUUGUCGGGGACGAGUAGAAGACGGUACCUGGCGAAUAAGCCACGGCUAACUACGUGCCAGCAGCCGCGGUAAUACGUAGGUGGCAAGCGUUGUCCGGAUUUACUGGGUGUAAAGGGCGAGUAGGCGGGACGGAAAGUCAGAUGUGAAAUACCGAGGCUUAACUUCGGGGCUGCAUUUGAAACUUCUGUUCUUGAGUGAUGGAGAGGCAGGCGGAAUUCCCGGUGUAGCGGUGAAAUGCAUAGAGAUCGGGAGGAACACCAGUGGCGAAGGCGGCCUGCUGGACAUUAACUGACGCUGAGGCGCGAAAGUGUGGGGAGCAAACAGGAUUAGAUACCCUGGUAGU
rnacentral:rRNA from 1 species